rnacentral:lncRNA from 1 species
UUUUCCCAUGUACUCUUCCUGGAAAGGUUUUGUAGCAAUUUGGAUUUUUGGAUUAAGGAUGCUCAACCUAUGGUACAUUUUCAUUGAUAGUGAAACAGUUCUAAGUGCAUUGUUACUUGCCCAAGCUUAUUGUAGUUGUUCAAAUCUAUGGAAGAUAGAGUCCAGCUACAAUACAAGUUUCCAGUGGGAUACAGACAGAACAUGACUUGAGAGAUUGAUAGGAUUGGGAACAAUCUCUGGAAGCCUUUCUUGGUGCCAGAUCCAUAGCCAGUUUUCUCUUCUUGGGCAGGAGCUGCCGUUAUACUGUUCUGGGGGGUUGCGGUUUUUCUGGGACAACAAGUUUGACCAUGCAAUGGUGGCUUUCCUGGACUGUGUGCAGCAGUUCAAAGAAGAGGUUGAGAAAGGCGAGACACGUUUUUGUCUUCCCUACAGGAUGGAUGUGGAGAAAGGCAAGAUUGAAGACACAGGAGGCAGUGGCGGCUCCUAUUCCAUCAAAACCCAGUUUAACUCUGAGGAGCAGUGGACAAAAGCUCUCAAGUUCAUGCUGACGAAUCUUAAGUGGGGUCUUGCUUGGGUGUCCU